UCCAAACGGGCCCUAAACAAAUUUGAUUUUCAUACGUUAAACAAACACAAAACAACUUAUGAUUGCUAUAAAAAUAUCUAAAAAUUAAUCUCUAAAUUCUAAUUAAGUAUCAAAAUCACUGUUUUUUCGUUAAACAAACACAAAGCAACUUAUGAUUGCUAUAAAAAUAUCUAAAAAUUAAUAUCUAAAUUCUAAUUAAGUACCAGAAUCACUUUUUUUUUCAUAAUCCCUAACAAAAUGACCUAGAAAAUAAUAAUUAUUCAACAAAUUUAACUUAAACCCGGUCAACCCCUAAAAUACCAACUUAAAUCAAAUCCGACCGAACUCGAGAUUACCAGGAUCAUUUCUAACAAAAAUUAUAUCAAUAAGAACACAAAGAAAAAAAGAAUACCUUAGUUUUGGUUUCAAUUUUAACAUCAAGAGAAGCAAUUCUGGUAGAAAGAAUACCAGCAAGACAUUCACCAGCAAAAGGGUUAAAGAUUUGAAAACCAGGUUGAGCAACUCUUUGAAAACGACCCCACUGUUCAACAAUUCCUACGCUUGAUUGUUCAACACAUCCACAGAAUAAACAGAACGUGUUUCCCAUUUUGAUUGAUCAAUUGAAUCGGUUUUUUGGUUUAUGAUUAUGUUUUUGUUGUUUGUUUCUAUUUAUGGUAAUAGAAUUUUAAUUUCGUUGUUUGAGUGUUUUGUGGAUUUGUAUCCUACACGACUUACAUGA
rnacentral:lncRNA from 1 species